rnacentral:rRNA from 1 species
UACGUAGGGUCCGAGCGUUGUGCGGAAUUACUGGGCUUAAAGAGCUCGUAGGUGGUUUGUUGCGUUGCUCGUGAAAACUCACAGCUUAACUGUGGGCGUGCGGGCGAUACGGGCAGACUUGAGUACUGCAGGGGAGACUGGAAUUCCUGGUGUAGCGGUGGAAUGCGCAGAUAUCAGGAGGAACGCCGGUGGCGAAGGCGGGUCUCUGGGAAGUAACUGACGCUGAGGCGCGAAAGCGUGGGGAGCGAACAGG